rnacentral:misc_RNA from 1 species
AGAGAAAGAGAGAGAGAGUGUGUGAAGGAGAAAAAGUACCUGGUUCAAUUUUCAAACCCUUAGGCAGCAGCAGUUGAUGUUGAUCUUCUUCUAAAUCUAUUUUUCUUCGUUUUCCUUUUUAGAUAGCUGACACUGAUAGGGAGGAAGGAACACUUUUUCUUUUGUGCUUCUUUGGGUAUGAUUUGAUGUGGAUAAACAAAUGAGAUUAGGUCAAAAUAAAGAAAAAAUUGAGGACAUAACUGGUACAUAGCUGAGGUUCCCCAUGGUGCUCCUUGCGCUUGAUGUUGACUGCCUUUCGCCUUAAGAGGUGCGCCUAGUGCCCCUUGCAUUGUGUCUCAGGUGUGCCUUUAACAACACUGUAUAAAUCACUAAACCCUUAGUGAUGUGUGAUAAAGAUUAUUGUUAUUAGUAGUUUGGAACAUUAAAGUUUUAAGUUGGUGUAAUGAGAUUCAAACAACCAUGGGUGGUUUCUUUAUUAUUAUGUUGCAUUUUUAGGAUUUGGAAUUUUAUUUUCUCUUUAAAAUUUUAACAUAUUUUUAAUUGAAACUAAUUUGUUAUAGGACACCAGAAGUCUUUGUGGAUAUUUUUAUUUCAUUUUGAUAUAUGAUAUUUCCAUAUAUUUUUUUUACAUAUGCAACCCAAAUAAGUGUUCUAUUAUCCAGAUAAUUGUAUUUUGUUUACAUUAUGGCUUUGUUUGGGUUGAUUGCUUCUUUGCUUUUUUGCUUCUUAAAAAUGGCUUUUGUAAAAGUAUAUGUGGUAAAUAUGUAAAUACUAAUCUAAAUGAAAAAGAAUAGCAAUUUUAAUGAGAAAUUUAUUUUUUACUUUUCAUAACAUGUAACUUUCUUGCUGCUUAAAUAUUGUAUAUUCUCAUCUAAUUAUACAUUGUCUUUUGCCUUUUGCCUUUUGCU